rnacentral:sRNA from 1 species
UCUCCUGAUUCUGCCGACGACAUGCGCCA